rfam:Desulfosporosinus sp. BRH_c37 BRHa_1001559, whole genome shotgun sequence.
UGAAAACAAGGAAAUUUUGAAGCAUGUAUUUUAUUUGGGCGCUUGAUACAUGUGGAAUAAGUAGCGCAACCGGCCUAGUUUAUA